AUUGAAUACUCAGGAUGAAGUGACAUGCUGUCUCGUUAGCAUUAACGAGGCUCGGAAGAAAAGCAAGAUGGAGCGAAUGCAGCUGCGCAGUAACUGCCGGGCAACGUAUUGGGAAAUCAAGUUUGAAAUCUUAGCCACACUGGAACAAGUGGCGAAGCCUGCGGACUGGAGGGGUUAACUCCUGGAUGUACUGAGCCAGGGACAAAGACAAGGAGUCACCACAGGUUAAAAUCUAAAGCUAAAGGAGCUGAAAGGAAGGACAGCAUAAAAGAUUCGAGGCCCGGCCGGGCCUCUCUGAGUGCUCUAUCUGCCAUUGACUGCAUAUACGAUGAUGUAUUCUCACACUUCCUGUAAAUGAGCGCUAUGCCCCAAGGGAUGCUGGGAAGUAUCGGUAAAUGCAAACGCCAACAAGACCAGCGGCAUCCAUCUACUGCUGGGCCACCUAUGCGUUUUGAAGUUGGCAAGUAACCAGACAUCUUUAUGGCCCCCCGUUUUCCAUACCUUAUUAUAGAGCACAUCAUUUUUUAAAAGCAUUUAAAUGAGCCAGAUGUUAACCCCAUUCAUUCCACUUUCUCCGGGAAUGUGUCAAUAAUGAUUUUUAAAAUGCAAAAGAAAAUGUCAAAGUAUUUUGUUCCCUGGUUAAGAAUACAUCUGUGGAAUAGGAAAGAGAAAAUUCAUACAACACUCUAUGGUCAUUCAGGAAAUAAUUAUAAGGUAUGUCAAGCCACAGAAAACCGAGCAAGCACUAAUUUAGCAACAACAACAAAAAAUGGAUGUCUUAUGUCAAAAUGGCUUCUUCACUCACUCAUUUCAAAAACAAGUUUUGAAAAUUAAAUUCCAUCCACCAGCUCAGAAAAGCACACAUUAAGGCUUGACUGCUACGCCAUUAUCCACGAGGCAGUGUUCUCUCUCUAUGUCGCUCUCUCUCUCCCUGGAAACUGCAUUAACUGACAGGAAGCCUAGGGGCUCACCUCCCAUAGUGCCUUGAAGUCUUCCUGCUCAAUUCGGAGAAGCUCACUGUUCUCUCUGGUAACGAUGGUUGCAUGGCGAGGUGUGUUGUCCAGAAUGGACUCUCCAAAGGCUGUCCCAAUUCCCAGAGUACAGAUGGUCACCGCAUCCUGAGAAACCCCCCCACCAAAAAAAAAUCAUUAGAAAAUUAAAUAUGCAAUGGAUGAGA